AACGCACGAGACCUGCGGACCUGCGGAGGGAUCAUUUAUGAGAAGCUGCCCCUCGUGGGUAGACCUCCCACCCUCUGUGAACUUACCUUUGUUGCUUUGGCAGGCCCGUCCUCUGGACCGCCGGCUUCGGCUGGCCCGUGCCUGCCAGAGGAUUCCAAACCCUGUCUGUCAGUGUUGUCUGAGUCUAUAUGAAAUCGUUAAAACUUUCAACAACGGAUCUCUAGAUCGGAAGAGCACACG
rnacentral:misc_RNA from 1 species